rnacentral:rRNA from 1 species
UACGUAGGGUGCAAGCGUUGUCCGGAAUUAUUGGGCGUAAAGAGCUCGUAGGCGGUCUGUCGCGUCGGCUGUGAAAACCCGGGGCUCAACCCCGGGCCUGCAGUCGAUACGGGCAGACUAGAGUUCGGUAGGGGAGUCUGGAAUUCCUGGUGUAGCGGUGAAAUGCGCAGAUAUCAGGAGGAACACCGGUGGCGAAGGCGGAUCUCUGGGCCGUAACUGACGCUGAGGAGCGAAAGCAUGGGGAGCGAACAGG